UUGUUCAUAAACAUCUUUAUAUCUUUGCAGACAACAAAGAUGCCUCAGAGCUGAAAACAAUUAAAACUUCCUCUCUCCAACUACCGUCAACUCCCAAUUAAACAGUGGAUCUAGCAGAGUAGACUGGGUCUGAUGUCAGGAACCGUCUUUGGCAUCACAGUGUCAAAAGUAAAGACUAGUCUCCAAUCGAGUUGCGGUUUUAUCAAGUAUCUCGCAAUUACUGUCCGGCCUGCUUCUGUCUGUACAAUAUUGUUUUUAAAUUAUAAAACUAUUUUAGAGGCGUAAUAUUCUUUUUAAAAUAAAACAAUUUCUACUGUCCUUACUGCGAUGGAAAAAUUGUAGAAAUUGUUUUAUUUUAAAAAGAAUAUUACGCCUCUAAAAUAGUUUUAUAAUUUGAUAACAGAUGGCGCUCUAGUACAUCGUAAUAUUGUUUUUAGGCUUCAUUAUUGUAAAGUUGAUCUAGGAAAACAGAAACAUUUAGAAAAAUAUAUUUGUUAACCCUCUCUGAGAGAUUAGUUCAACCUAUUUUAAAAUUAUAUUCUGUGAUAUGUAAAACACUGUGUGAACCUAGAGUACAUUUUACAAAUGAAUACAGUACUUUAGAGUAUUUUUUAAUUCUCGACACACACUGUAUUUUACUGCAAGGCAAACAUCUCGAUUGUUAUAUUUAAAAUUUAUUCUGGGGCGUAUUGAAGCGUUUUGAGUGAUUUGAAGGGAAUGGAAUUAGAUAUACCGUGGUUGUCCCUUUCACCCCGAUAAAUCGCUGCUGAGACCCAAGUUACCUGAUCUCUGGCAGCUGGUAGUGAAGUCAGUUACUGCGUUAAUCUCACCUUUGAUCUUCCACAUCGAGUGGAGGUGGUUAGUUAGGCUUAUUUAUGAUACUUAUAAAAUGAUAGUUAUAAAAAAACUGUCAAAAUUUUGAAAGGGGGAUACAGGGGAACGUGACUAUAGAAUUUUGUAGACCAGAGGGUGUGGGUUAGUAACUACAGAAACGGGGGUUAGUAGUCCUAACGGGACCCCGGCUCCGCGUUCCCGUGAAGCCGCAGUCGCAGCUGCACGGGAUCGCGGGGCAGGGGGGAUGCGGGCCUGGGAAAACAGGGAGCGGAAGAAGAAAUUUCGAAAGCUAGGGGUGGAAGGAGAAACUCGUAUUGGGGGCAGGGGAAAAAUAGGGGUAAGUCAAGGGAAAAUGAGGAACUGGGAAGGGACAUUUGGUGUGCGGACUGUAAGAAAAGGACAUUGUUGAUGUAGCCUUGAGGGUUGUCAAAAGGUUCGGGGGGAUCGUGGGCCUGGAAAAUUAUGGGAGGUGGGUCUGUCUGUGUGCCUAUAUCAACUUUGCCUCUGGUCUUGGCCCUGCACACACACGGCCUGUUAGCUUUGUGGAAUCUGGAACCUUACAGGAGUAGUGGUAUAGUGUCAAAAGUUAUAUAACAUACACAUUUAAUAUAUAUAUCCUGCUUGUAGAACUACAUUUAAUUUAAUAGGGAUCAGAGUUUACAUAAAAAUAUUCAAUUAACGUAAAGGAAUGCGCGUAGACAAGAGCUAACUAAAGGAAUGGAAGAAGAAGGAGAAACAGGAAAAUGCAAAAAAAAUAAUAAUAAUAACAACCCAUCAAAAUGUUUAACAGACAACUGUUAAUAGAGUACAGAACAUGGUCCUCUUAGCAGCUCUAGGUCGACACAUUCUCUAACAAAGAGAGGAUCAAUGAUAGCCUUUGAUUAUCCUAGUUUCAGGCCAUUGCCACUCGGAGAUAUAUAACAGUAGGUGGGCAUGUUAGAUGGACUUUGCAAAUCAUCCGCGUUGACGUCACCACUCCCUGUUUGGGUUUUGCCUCGCUCCUAUUAACCCUUUCUUUGCUCACAAAACAAAGGCAUUCCACAAAACAAUGAGGGAAUUUCAUUACAACAAAUUUUCUAUAAGAAACAAAUAUUAUAGAAAUAUUGAAUAAAAAACUAAACCCGUUUUAACACCAAAUUCCAAAAAAUCAAUUUGAGCAAUCCUGUUGAUGACAACAUUUUUUUCAACACCCUAUCAAGAAAUCCUUGAAGUGAUUAUGUUAUAGCUGUUAACACUCGUCUGCAAACUACCACAGUAGUCCUGACAGAUACACUCAACUGCAAUGAAGAAAGUGAUGAGGAACAUUGGUAUAAUGAUUGAAAUUUGGAUGAGGGGGAACCAAGAAAAUUUAUUUCCUAUAUUUACAAAGAAAGGUCACCUCUCCCGUCAAAAUAGACGCAAAAAACUAUGCUCAUCUGUCGAGCGUCUGUGCAAAUUAUCAGAUACGGCGGAUGGUAGUGGCGGAUACUCGUUGAAGCAACUUCAGAUUGGAAAAGCCUAUUGCUGUUGUGAAUGAUACUGUCAUAUCAAGUGUAUGACAAACCUGUUGCAAGAGUUGGAAGAAUGGGAAUUUAUGAAAAAAAUGAGCUGCCAUUUAUACAAAUAUUAUGAGGCAAGAUCAACUGAAUGUCCAGUAUCCCCAUAUGUAGACAUAUAAACAGAAAAUUACAUUCCUUGAUAGACUGUUAUGAACGAGUCUAAAACAUCUGUUUUCUGGAUAGGCCAUUGGAGGGUUGGAGGCCGACAUCUUUACAGGGCAAUCAAAUGGAGAAUCAUCUGGUGAACCUCAGCGCCGUGGACUGUGAAUUAAGUUGUUUGAUGAAGAUAUCAUCCCCACUAAAUGUUAUGCAUGUCCUCAUCACUUUAAAAACAGAAGUAAGUACAAACUCUAUUUGACAAUCGUAGGAACGUUGGUAUAGCUAUCAGGUUCUCGUUGAAACUAAAGUCUGACAAUUUCCCCCUGGAUUUCAAUGCAAGAAAGUUUCAGCAAGGCUGAUAGCCAGGAAAUGAAUUUAUUUCCUUUCAGGCUGGUGAGAUUUCCAGUGAGAAGUGCGGCAUUGUAUUGAUGGUGUGUCAGUGGCUGAACUGCUGGCCCCACAAGAUGUCAUGUAGAGUGUACGCCGCCCUUCCACAGUCACCAAGUGUCAUCCACUGGUCCAGUUACGACAUAAUCGCUCCAAGGUUCCAGACCUGUGCCAAGCACUCAAGGACGCCACCGUUGCUGGUUUUUGACUAUCUACAACUUAUUGUGAAUGGAUGUACACAACCUAUUGACGUGGCUUGAAUGACACGUUCAUGGACUAACAGAAUCCCAGGAGCUUCUCUCUGAAUCUUCCAGUUUAUACGGUGUUUGGCGCGAUCCUUUCACUCUCCCCCGAAUUCACAGGUACCACCCUCUACGUCCACAUUGGGGAAUAUUGCUGGAUAUCUCGUGUCUAUCGCUGGUGGCGAUUGAACGUACUUACACAGUACAUACACAGCUCCAUGUCCUCAUUUAUUUUUAACGAAAAACAUUUAAAUCAAAAUGAUUAUAUUCUUUCUCUAUAGACAACAGUAUAUUUUACGUUGAAAAAAGAUGAGUACAAUUGUAAAUAGAAUAUGACAGUACUAUUAAGUACAAGUUAAAAGAAAGAUCUUUGAACCAUUAUAUAUGUUGAGAAUAGAACACAGUCAGAACAUUUAGAAUACAUUAAAUAAUAAAAUCCAGGAUCGCAAUGUUCUCCCGCAAUUUUAUAUCAUACUAGAGCACCACAGCCACACAUGUGACGGAGAAAUUCGAGCACAUAUACUGUUUACUCUAUUUUACAGACCUGUCAAAACUGUAGAUAUAAAUAAUAAUAAAAACUACAAAUUAUUAAAUGCCUAUUUAUAGUUUUUUUUUAAUUAAAAAAUAUAUAAUUUCAUUCAAUGUUAUUAAAUGUUCCGAUAGAUGGCAGUGGGUCAUCAGCAACAUUCAGUUGUUAGAAUAGCAGGUUUCAUUGACUUAACACACUGCUCUGCUCUAAACUCUUUAAAAACUCGUCAAGGGUUGCGAAAUUAAAGUAGAAAUCAGCUGGGAACGACAACUUAAAUGCCAAUAAAAAAGUCACCAUAUUAUAUUGUGGCAUUGAAAUGAUUCAUUAAUUUAUUUUUAAUUAAUUAAUUAUAAUUAUAUGUAUAAAUAAAAAUACCCACAAAAGAAUAUGCUUUUAUUUUAAAAUUAUCAUACAUGUUCCAUAGCUUGGUUGUUCAAUGUUCUCUAUCUAUAUAGACACUCAUGAACAAAACUUAAGGAAGUUGUACUUUUUACCAUGUAUAUCGGGAUUCAGACAAUAACUCUGAAAUAUAUUACAGUGACCUUUAUUGAAGAUACACAAGGUAACCAUGUGUAAACAAAAUUACCUCUUUUUCCUAAAAAAAAAAAAAAACAGACGACCGGCGGCAUCAAAGAAUUUCCAAUUCGUUAAGUUUUGUCCAUGAGUGUAUUUCAGUAAUUUAAUAGCAAUUUAAUAUUUAGCACAUCAUUUGUGAUGAAAAUAUAUCUCUCAUAAAAUCUACAAAUUAGAAAAUAUCCAAUUAAAUGUCCAAAAUUAUUUGAAGUAAAAGGCUAUGUAAUACGUAUACAAAUAUUUGAUAAAACAGGUAUUUUAUACCAGAACAUAAAUAAAAAACAUUGCCGAUUAUAUUUGGAAGCUUGGACCUCCGCAGAAGACAAAGAUAGUAUAAAUAUAAAAAUUGAACUACCAGAGAUAUAUUCGCAAUUUAGAUCGUGUGUCAUAAAAUAUUUACAGUUUAAUUUUUGAUUUGAAUACUUCAAAUUCCCGAUAUUUUAGGUCUAUAUUUUUAUUAAUUUUAUAGGGAGAGGUACAUAUUUAGGAGCACGUAAAAAUGUUUUAAUGCUUAAUGCGCAUUUUUCCUUUAUAUAUAUUUCUUUAAAUUUAUGUAACAUCGUUUAAGUUUAUUUCAAAUACAAUCACACGCUUAUUUUAUAUAUACACUGCGUGACAUUGAAAAUGGAACACCAAGAAAUAGUGGCCAGAAAGUGAUGAAACUCGGCAGACAGAGAGAGACAGGGACGAACAAUAAGUGAUCUUUAUUUCAAAAUGAUAGUCAUAAUACAGAGCGAGAACGGCGUCGGCUUAGUAGCAAGUAGGACCACCGCGGACGGCGAUGCACGCAGCAACACGUCUAGGUAGAGAGUCAAUCAGAGUACGGAUGGCGUCCUGAGGGAUGGCUCUCCAUUCCCUCUCAACCAUUUGCCACAGUUCGUUUUCUGAACGCGGCUGUGGCAAGGCAUGCAAACGGCGUCCAAUGAUGUCCCAGACGUGCUCGGUUGGUGAGAGAUCAGGAGAGUACGGUGGCCAGGGAAGCAUCUGUACAUCUUGAGAGCUUGUUGGCUAAUGCGAGCAGUGUGCGGUCGGGCGUUAUCCUGCUGAUAAAGGGCAUUGGGUACCCCCUGAAGGUAGGGGAGUGUCACCGGUCGCAGCACAUCAUCAACGUAUCGUUGGGCCGUCAUAGUGCCCUGAAUACGAAGUAAAGGUGACCUGGAAUCAUACGCGAUUGCGCCCCAAACCAUGAUUCCACGUUGUCGCACGGUGGGGCGUUCCACAAUUGCUGCCGGAUUGGACCUUUCUCCACGUCGACGCCACACGCGUACACGGCGACUAUCACUGGACAAGCAGAAACGCGACUCAUCUGAGAACACGACCCUGUGCCAUUCCGUCAUCCACGUCGAUCUAGCCCGGCACCAUUCCAAACGUUGGCGCCUAUUCGGUGGGGUCGAUGGCAGUCUUCUUAGCGGACGGCAUGAGUGCAAGCCAUUAGCAACCAAUCGACGGGAAAUGGUUCUGGUCGAGAUGGAAUGAUCUAGGGUGACUUGCACAUGUUGCAGGAUGGCGGUACAAGUGGCUUGUGGGGCCGCCACUGCUUGUCGAAGGAUACGCCGAUCCACACGUGCUGACGUCACUCUGGUUGCACCGGCAUUCCUAUAAAUUGCCACAUUUCCUUGUUCCAACCAUCUUCUCCACAGUCGGUGCACCGUGGACGCACCAAAGUGUGUAUCAGCUGCGAUUUGACGUAUGGACCAACCUGCCCUUUUCAGUCCGAUCACCAUGCCCCUCGUAAAAGCGUCUGUCUGCUUGAACUGCCUCCGUUUACGAUGACCUGGCAUUCUCUCACAAGAAAAAAAAUUUCUACAAUGAUUAUCCUUGAAGAAAUAACGACACAUUACUGUCCUUUCUGCAAGUUCCUUCCCUUAUAUCUUACUCCAUGUGCGCACGAGGGCUGCGCAUUUUACAUCAUUUGCAUAACUCGGUUAGUCAAUGUCACGCAGUGUAUGUAUUUAUAUAUAUAUUUAUAUAUUGAUAGUUCAAUAUCUUCAAAGUUUUAUUUUUACACAACCAAAUUUAUUUUUAUUUUAUUUAUUAUUUUUUAUUUACUGGCAAUGCGCUUCUUUUAAAUAUCAUCAAAUAUUAUCUCUACAGAUCUUAAUGCAAUGAUAUGAGUUAUUGAAUGAGAGGGCUUGGCUCAUCAGUAGUGAACCCUCUCAGCGGUUUCGACAAAUUAAUCUCUAGACCGCUCUACUAUUGUUUUGGAUUGGUUUGGGAUAUACCCUACAUUUUCUAUGGAAGUCAGCUUAGGAGUGUUUAGUGAACUAUGGACAUAAGCUUAUAGGUCUGUAGAGGUACAUACAUAUAAUUUCAAGGUAUUGCAUCGAGCAAAGCUCUUCCGCAAAAAUGUUUUCAUAACAAAUAUAUAUUAGUAAAUUAAAUUUAAUUGUCAUCUAUCGUUAAAAAAAAUUGUACACAAAUAAAUUAGUUUUGUUUGUGUGAUAUCAUAAAAAAAAAUAUUUUCCCAUUUUCACUUAUAUUUUAUUUCAAAUUUCACAAUUUUACAUUUAAAUUUAUUUUAAUAUUUUAUUUUAACCAACUUUUCACACAUUUUUAGCGCUUUGUGUUUUCGGUAAAAAAUAUUUAGUUUAACAUUUCUUUUAUAUAUAUUUUGUUAUUUUUAUUUUAUUUUCCUACGAAAAAUCUUUUUAGUACAAAUAAUUAUAAAUAUAAAAUAGGCGUUAUUGUUAAUUUUCAAAAUAUUCACACCCAUAUUUAAAAAAAAAAAAAUUGUCCAUAAUAUAAAUAUAUAUAUCAAAUCCCCCCCCCCCCCCAUUGAAUAUAACAAAAUACUUUUAAAACUUAAUUCUGUUGACGUUAUGUGGCGCUGAGUUUGUUGUUGACACACAUUAAAUAUGUUAUAACACCUUGAUAAAGGUUGGCGUUCAGCCAUCUGAAAUAUUGGUAAAAUAAAAAUAAAUGAUAUUUUGAUCCAAUAUAUGCCUUUUUAAUUAAAAAUAUCUAUAAAUGAUUGUUUGUUACAGUUUUUGACUUCUAACUCCAAGGAGAUUCGCGCGAAAUAGAAAAACUUUACAAUUAGGAUUUCUUACUCCUUUAAGUUCAUACAUAAUCGCUCCAAAGUCAAGCCUUAACUCCCAACCGUUCUAUAGUUGAUACCGUGCAUCACCGAUAUCGUAUUUUAUAGAUAGAUAUAGAAAUCACACAAAAAAGUUACGGAAUGAUGCUAUUCAUGUAUCAAAAGUAACACAUAUCCCUUUUAAUAUUUAAAGGGAGAGGGAUUUUGGUACAAAUAUAAUUGAUUUAUAUGCUCGCAUAUUUGGUACAUAUAAAUCUAAUAAAAAUAUAAUUUAAUUCUUUAUAAUCCUUUAUAAAAAGAAACUCAAUAAUUCUGAAGUAUAAAUACGGUACAUAUUAUUUUUUAAAUGGGCUCAGGAGAUAAUUCGAUAUUAUGGAAUAUAAAAAAUUGAAAAAAAAAACUAUUUUAUAUAAGUGUCCAUUUUUGGAAAUAUAGAGAAAAGGAAACCCUAUUAAAAUUUAAACAUUAAUAAUUAAAGUAAACUAAUUUUUAAAAUCUUGAAAAAACUCGUUCACUUACUUAAAUAUUUUUACCAAUAUAUACUUCUAAAAAUACCAUCUUUUCAAAAUUAAAGCGCAGGCGCGCAGAUGUCAUUUUUCGAGAAUUAUAAAUGCAAUUUUAUUUAAAUCAAACAGCCUGAAAUCGAUGCCAUUUAGAUGAUUGUCUAAAAAGAAAAAAAUCCAAGCUUUAAAAAUAUAUUAAUAUAAUAUUUACCUAGAUAUGCAUUUCUGCCCUUGAAAUGUAGGUAAUAUUUAAAAAUAGAAUUCUUUUUUAUAACUCUCUCAUUACAACAUUUGGGACUAGGUUGGAAACUGGGGAGUUUAGAAUUAUGAGGUUACAAUGAAGCUGCUGUUAUAAAGCUGUAUAGACCUUUUCAUUUUUAACGCUACUUUUCUUUUUAAAUAUAUAUAUAAAAAAUUCUUUUUCUACAGCCCUUAUACUGCAAUGAUUAAAAAUUAAAAGAAUGAGGGCUCUUUGUUAAUUCUGAUAUAUAUUUUCUACAGUCCUAGAAGUCCCUUCAAAACACCAAUUUACUGUACUCACUAGCAGGAUACAUCAGUCCAAUAAUACAAUAGUGAAGCGGAUUGGAGAUUCAAAUGGAAGGGUUCACCACUGAUGAGCCAUGCCCUCAGUCUUUAAAUUUUUAAUCUUUGCAGUAUAAGGGCUGUAGAAAUAGGAUUUUUUAUAUUAUAUAUGUGACAAUAUAAUAAUAAUGUGGGGAAGAGAAAUAAUCACACCACAAGUUGGAAGAUGAAAUCAGGCAACCAGCGAGAGAGAGACGGCCCGGCCACCGCUGAGCGGCCGGCCGUUCCGUAUCGCACACAAAAUCCCCAACUGUCUUAAUUAGUCCUGAAGUUCCAAGUAACGCCCCUGUGGUCGCCCCCCUGGAAUGUCGCAGGUGUCUCAAAUGACUGGACUUUAGCUGCUGUCUCUCUCUGGGCUGACUCUAGGUUUACUUUAUUAUUCCUGGAAGAGUAAUAUUAUGACAUGUAUAUAUAUUUAGAAAGAGGGAAUCAUAUAUCGCCGCAACUCUUUUUUUUUAUUAACGCAAUUAAGGAAGCUUUCGGGCAAGCCCUUCUUCAGCUAAUCCGCAAACCGUUUACCAUGUAUAUAUAUAUAUUUAAAAAAUGAAAAGGUCUAUAGAGCUUUAUAACAGCAGCUUCAUUAUAACCUCAUAAUUCUAAACUCCCCAGUUUCCAACCUUGGCAACAGUCCCAAAUGUUGUAAUGAGAGAGGUUUGCCUUUAUUUGUACAUAUUCCAUCUGUGUGUGGGGUAGAUUUUGUUACUAUUUUCAAUCUCAGGCAAUUAAAGAUAUAAAAUAACAACAAAAUCUACUCCACUUGCUCCAAAAUUUAGCUUGGCACCUGCACCUCCAGAAUACACUUUGGCUUGCAUUUGAUGUACUAAACAGGACCUUUGGGAGAGGCAGCUGCUUAUCAUCUAACAGCUCAAGGAGCAUGGACUCUUGGAAUUUGUGUAAUCUUUGCAAAAGGGGAAAGGAAAAAAACAACAACAUGUAAAUGUGAAAUUGAAACUAUUUUAGACAUGUAAGAUUUUUUUUUAAAUAAAAUAAUUUUUACUGCCAUUACUGCAACGAUGAAUUAAUGGGAGGGCCUGGGUCAUCAGUGGUGAACCCUCCCAGUGGUUUCACUUCUAUCAUACUACUGUAAUAUUGCAUUUAUCCUUUUAUAUACUGAUACUGACCUCUUGGAUAAGGUAUAAGAGCUUUGCAUGGAAUUCGUGUAAUCUUUACACAAGGGGAUAAGAAACAACAACAUAAGAGCUUUGAGAUAAUUAUUUAAUUUUAAAAAAUAAUCAUGGUGUUUAAAACAGUCUCAAUUUCUUCUAUAACAGACGCUGUGCUAAUGGAUAAUAACAUGUGUGGCUUCUAUGGCAGGCGAGCAUCCUGAUGAGGAAACCCAAGGAGAGCAUGGUUCCCAGGAAGCUGCUCAACAAAGAGAGCAUACCCAAGGUGAGAGAGAGGUUGACACAGUGGUGUAACACAAGCUGUAACAGCUGUGUGUCCAGAAAUGUCGGUGCCAAACCUCCUGCAGCAACAGGAAGUGUGGUUGCUACCACUCCAAGCAGGCCUGUCUGCCCAGCUGUCGCUGCAACAAGGAGAAGUGCAGGAACAAUCAGGAGGUGAGGUCACAUACUCAAGUCCUUUUAGCAUGUACAGUAGAACCUCUGUGAGAGGACUUUCACUUGAAAACACCUCAACAAAGGGCAGUUUUCAUUGCUAAAAUUACCAU
rnacentral:piRNA from 1 species